CCUACGGGAGGCAGCAGUGGGGAAUUUUGGACAAUGGGCGCAAGCCUGAUCCAGCAAUGCCGCGUGAGUGAAGAAGGCCUUCGGGUUGUAAAGCUCUUUUGUCAGGGAAGAAACGGUGGGAGCUAAUAUCUCCUACUAAUGACGGUACCUGAAGAAUAAGCACCGGCUAACUACGUGCCAGCAGCCGCGGUAAUACGUAGGGUGCAAGCGUUAAUCGGAAUUACUGGGCGUAAAGCGUGCGCAGGCGGUUUUGUAAGUCUGUCGUGAAAGCCCCGGGCUCAACCUGGGAAUUGCGAUGGAGACUGCAAGGCUUGAAUCUGGCAGAGGGGGGUAGAAUUCCACGUGUAGCAGUGAAAUGCGUAGAGAUGUGGAGGAACACCGAUGGCGAAGGCAGCCCCCUGGGUCAAGAUUGACGCUCAUGCACGAAAGCGUGGGGAGCAAACAGGAUUAGAUACCCUGGUAGUCCACGCCCUAAACGAUGUCUACUAGUUGUCGGGUUUUAAUAACUUGGUAACGCAGCUAACGCGUGAAGUAGACCGCCUGGGGAGUACGGUCGCAAGNUUAAAACNCAAAGGAUUGACGG
rnacentral:rRNA from 1 species